UGAAUGCAUAACACCGAAUAUUUUAUGUGUCUUCAACCCCUCCCCUCCCCUCCCCUCUAUAAAACGGCUAUCGCCCCGCCUACCAUGGUUGUCAGAUCCGCUCCUCCUCCGCUUCCCCUCCGUCAAUCCUCUACGGUAAAAUUGCCUUUCCAAUAACCUUGCCGCCGGCAACCUCGGGAAGUAAGAAGCAACAACGGCCACAGAGAGGCAGUGACUGGUGAUGCAGCAGAGAGGACGAGCAUACAACCGCAGAUCUAGGAGCUUCUCUCGGUCCCGCCUCGCCGUUGAAGGCUGUUAAUCUCCAUUCCAUUCCCUUCCCCUCCAUUGUCCCCCUUCCUCUUCCUCCCCUGUUUCCCCCGCACCCAGUUCCUCCCCUCAUCGAAUCAGCUCAUUUCUCCCGUCAAUGGCUACUCAAGGAGAUGAGCGUCUGGCUCAGAAGAGCUACUGGAUCGAGCAUUGUGCAGACCUCACCGUCGAGGCCAUGAUGCUCGACUCCAAGGCCACGGAUCUCGACAAAGAGGAGCGACCCGAGGUGCUUUCUAUGCUCCCGGAUUAUGAGAGAAAAUCAGUUUUAGAACUUGGAGCAGGCAUAGGUCGCUUUACUGGCGAGUUAGCUAAGAAAGCUGGUCAGCUCGUGGCUCUUGAUUUUAUUGACAGUGCGAUCAGGAAGAAUGAAGCCAUAAACGGGCAUCAUAAGAAUGCAAAGUUUCUAUGUGCCGAUGUGACAUCGCCAGACCUGCCUAUUACAGAGGAGUCGAUGGACUUGAUAUUUUCCAAUUGGUUGCUCAUGUAUCUUUCGGAUGAAGAGGUUGAGAGUCUGGCGCAUAGGAUGGUCAGAUGGUUGAAGGUUGGCGGAUAUAUUUUCUUCAGAGAAUCCUGCUUCCAUCAGUCUGGGGACUCCAAGAGGAAGUAUAAUCCAACGCAUUACCGGGAGCCCAGAUUCUACACAAAGGUUUUUAAAGAAUGUCAAUUGACUGAUGCAUCGGGAAAUUCCUACGAGCUCUCCCUUAUUGGCUGCAGAUGUAUUGGAGCUUAUGUCCGGAACAAGAAGAAUCAGAAUCAGAUUUGCUGGAUAUGGCAUAAGAUCAAGUCGGAAGAUGAUAAAGGGUUCCAGCGGUUCUUGGACAAUGUUCAGUAUAAAUCUAACGGCAUACUGCGUUAUGAGCGUGUCUUUGGCCCAGGCUUUGUGAGCACGGGAGGGAUUGAGACUACCAAAGAGUUUGUGGAGAAGCUGGAGCUAAAGCCUGGCCAGAAAGUUUUAGAUGUCGGCUGUGGCAUCGGAGGAGGAGACUUCUACAUGUCUGAGAAGUACGAGGUUGAGGUUCUUGGCAUCGAUCUCUCAGUGAAUAUGAUUUCUUUUGCUCUCGAGCGUGCUGUUGGGCUCAAAUGCACUGUUGAAUUUGAAGUCGCUGAUUGCACCACCAAAGAAUAUCCCGAGAACUCAUUUGACGUUAUCUACAGCCGGGACACUAUCUUGCACAUUCAAGUGAGACACUCUUUUUUCUGCACGGUUUUCAUUUUUGGUGAAUAUUUGUACGCCGAAGUUCCACUCAGGACAAACCUGGACUGUUCAGGUCGUUUUUCAAGUGGCUGAAGCCUGGAGGUAAAGUUCUUAUCAGUGAUUACUGCAGAAGUCCUGGAACCCCUUCACCUGAUUUUGCAGCUUAUAUUAAGCAACGGGGAUAUGAUCUCCACGAUGUGGAGGCUUAUGGUCAGAUGCUCAGGGAUGCUGGGUUCAGUGAGGUCAUUGCAGAGAAUCGAACUGAUCAGUUUAUGAAAGUUUUGACAAGGGAACUGGAUGCUGUUGAGAAAGAGAAGGAUGCAUUCAUCAGUGACUUCUCUCAGCAAGACUAUGACGACAUCGUCAACGGGUGGAAGGCAAAGCUGGUCAGGAGCUCAUCAGGCGAGCAGAGGUGGGGCCUCUUUAUUGCCAAGAAGAACUGAGGACCGGACAGCCGGGGGUCCUAAUAUAUAUGCCGUGGAUUGGGUUUUAUAUGGUUGUGUUGUGGGGUGUUAAUCACCACCAGCUCUCGUUUGAAGCUGGUGGAUAUGAUGUUUGAUAUGUUAGUUGGUCUCAUUUCUGAUUUCCAAUAAAGAAACUCCCUUUGGUAGAACUCGCUGCUUGAAAUAAGAAUGAAACUGUGAUCGAUAUGAGACUCA